GAGUGGUAGAUAUAAAAGGCGCGUUCGUAAAGCCUCCAGAGUCUGUGACCGUGGCGCAGCGGCUGUCCGCUUAGCCCUCUACUGUUCAGCAUCUACAUAGAAUCCCUGUGCUUGGCAAUAAGUGAAAACAGCAGCAUUCACGGCUUUAGGUUGCAGGCAUCAGAAGUCAAAAUUCUGGCAUACGCGGACGAUGUCGCAGUUUGUUGCACCGACAAAGAAAGUGUUGCACAGGUUAUCACUGUAGUAAAGAAUUUCGGCAAUGCAACUGGUAGUCUGGUAAAUUGGGGAAAGUGCUUGGGUUUUUG
rnacentral:lncRNA from 1 species